rnacentral:misc_RNA from 1 species
UCCGGUUUGUCACCGGCAGUCUCAUUAGAGUGCCCAACUGAAUGUAGCAACUAAUGACAAGGGUUGCGCUCGUUGCGGGACUUGACCCAACAUCUCACGACACGAGCUGACGACAGCCAUGCAGCACCUGUGUUCCGGCUCCCUUUCGGGCACACCCAGCUCUCGCUGGGCUUCCGUACAUGUCAAGGGUAGGUAAGGUUAUUCGCGUUGCAUCGAAUUAAUCCACAUCAUCCACCGCUUGUGCGGGUCCCCGUCAAUUCCUUUGAGUUUUAGCCUUGCGGCCGUACUCCCCAGGCGGGGCGCUUAAUGCGUUAGCUACGGCACGGAUCCUGUGGAAGGAAACCCACACCUAGCGCCCACCGUUUACGGCGUGGACUAC